rnacentral:rRNA from 1 species
GACGUAGGGCGCAAGCGUUGUCCGGAUUUAUUGGGCGUAAAGAGCUCGUAGGCGGCUUGCCACGUCUGCCGUGAAAACCCGCGGCUUAACUGCGGGCUUGCAGUUGAUACGGGCAGGCUAGAGUUCGGUAGGGGAGAUCGGAAUUCCUGGUGUAGCGGUGAAAUGCGCAGAUAUCAGGAGGAACACCGGUGGCGAAGGCGGAUCUCUGGGCCGAUACUGACGCUGAGGAGCGAAAGCGUGGGAGCGAACAGG